GAACAGACGUCUGCUUAUCAGUUACUAACCAUAUAAGGGCAGUCGUCCUUUUGUUCUUCGCUCGAGAUUAAGAAAGAGGCAUGGGGGCAUCAAGUUUGACAUGCUGCAGGAGCUUCCUGCCUGGAGUCCUAAGAAAUUUUUCAGUUCAAAGAAUCUGGAAUGAAGGUGUGUCUUCCUACCUCAAAGCAGGAGUGAAUCUCCCUACUCCAAAGUAAGCAAAAAUUCCUCACAGGAAAGAACAGCUGCAAUACUAGGGGAGCCUUUGGACACCAGGCAUUGUGGAAGCACUAUGGACAAUGCACAACCACAAGGAGGUAUACCAUUAGAAUUAAACAGGCAAACUGCAGUGGUCAGAUUUACAUUUUCAGUAUGUGCAGAUUCUAGUAAGCCAUGUUUUGUAAGUGUUGGCUAAUGCCUUCUUAUCUCAAUGACAGAUGAGAAAUUCAUCAGAAAUGAUGCACUUAAUAAAAAAGAAUUUAAACAGAUAAUUCCUGGAUUGGAAUAAGAAGAGGCAAUACCUGGAUACUCUUGGGAAUGUCUUCCAUGGCCUGUAUAAUUUUGCUCUAUAUGCCAGAUUAUAAGAUAUAAAUAUAGAUGUCAAGCAGUUUCUGUAAGGA